rnacentral:rRNA from 1 species
CCUACGGGCGGCAGCAGUGGGGGAUAUUGCACAAUGGGCGCAAGCCUGAUGCAGCCAUGCCGCGUGUGUGAAGAAGGCCUUCGGGUUGUAAAGCACUUUCAGCGGGGAGGAAGGCGUUAAGGUUAAUAACCUUGGCGAUUGACGUUACCCGCAGAAGAAGCACCGGCUAACUCCGUGCCAGCAGCCGUGGUAAUACGGAGGGUGCAAGCGUUAAUCGGAAUUACUGGGCGUAAAGCGCACGCAGGCGGCCUGUCAAGUCGGAUGUGAAAUCCCCGGGCUCAACCUGGGAACUGCAUUCGAAACGGGCAGGCUAGAGUCGUGUAGAGGGGGGUAGAAGUCCAGGUGUAGCGGUGAAAUGCGUAGAGAUCGGGAGGAAUACCGGUGGCGAAGGCGGACCCCUGGACAAAGACUGACGCUCAGGUGCGAAAGCGUGGGGAGCAAACAGGAUGAGAUACACGGGUAGUC